rnacentral:rRNA from 1 species
UACGGAGGGUGCAAACGUUGCUCGGAAUCAUUGGGCGUAAAGCGCACGUAGGCGGUUUGUUAAGUCGGGUGUGAAAGCCCUCGGCUCAACCGAGGAAGUGCAUUCGAAACUGGCAAGCUGGAGUACUGGAGAGGAUGACGGAAUUCCCGGUGUAGAGGUGAAAUUCGUAGAUAUCGGGAGGAACACCAGCGGCGAAGGCGGUCAUCUGGACAGAUACUGACGCUGAGGUGCGAAAGCGUGGGGAGCAAACAGGAUUAGAUACCCCAGUAGUCC